rnacentral:lncRNA from 1 species
AGACUUAAAUCACAACAAAAAAUUAGAUCGCAUUGCCAUCGAUGAGGUUCACUGGGUUUCAGAAUGGGUCAUGAUUUUCGGCCAGAUUACAAAGAAUUGUGUGUACUCAAUGAUAAUUUUCCUGGCGUUCCCAUCAUAGGCUUGACAGCCACAGCUACUCCGAGAGUUCGCAGAAUAUUGUAAUUGUCUAAAUCUGUCGGAUCCGAAAUGGGUUUUAUCUAGUUUCAAUCGACCAAAUUUGAAGUAUCAAGUUGUUUCCGAAAAUGAAAACUGCUUUAAAUGAACUAGUUUUUGUAAUCAAGAGUCACUUCUUGGGGAAGUGUGGAAUCGUCUAUUGCUUUUCAAGGAAGGAUGCAGAUGAUGUAGCUAAAGCACUAACUCGGUUGGUUUUUGAAAGCAGUCAGUUAUCAUGCAGGGCAAGCUGAUAAUCAACAGAGAAACUAUCCCAAAAUAAUGACUACUAACAAAGUGAAUAUCAUAUGUGCUACCAUUGCAUUUGGAAUGGGCAUUGAUAAACCUGAUGUGAGGUUCGUCAUACAUUUUUCAAUGCCAAAAUCGUUGAAGGAUAUUAUCAAGAAACCGGUCGGGCAGGGAGAGAUGGAAAGCUUGCUCCUGUAUUUUAUUUUAUUCAAAGACUGAUUCUCAAAAAAUUAUUGGAUUGAUUUCUAGUAAGUUCAAAGUCAGGUCUGUUUUCACACGAAUAAUACUAUCGUUCAAAAAAAUUGGGAAAAAGAAACACUCUGCUAAUUUACUGAAAUGAGAAUACAGUAAGGUGUCUAAGAGUCCAUGUUUCUCCAGUAUGUCAAACUUUAUAAUAGCAGAUUGGCAACUUGGCAAUGAGUGCUCCAUCGUCUGCCUGUACAAUCAAUUCCUCUUGGACUAUCUUAGCUUAAUUUAAGGAAAAUCAUUUAAUAUAGGUGACUUACUUAUAGAUUCAAAUCUGAUGACAGCCUCCUUUUUAUUUAUCCAGAUAAAUAAACUUUAACGGUUUCAGAACAUUUCAACUCCUCCUUAAAUUUUACUCCUGACAUUGUGGAAAAUCGGAGGAAUUAAUUUCUUUGAUCCACAGUAUUCAUAGAAAUGUCAAAAUCAGCUUUGAGCCAUUUCCACCACUCACUAUGAAAGUUAUUGAAACUUUCAUUAUCCAUGCCUUUUAAUCAGUCAUAGAAAAAAGGUAUUUUUUUUGUGCUCAUGGGCAUGGGCACCCAAACAGGACCUCGGUAAAAAGUUAACCAUACAAAGUUAAUUUGUUAAUUGCCAAAAAUUUUCAAAGAUGUUUUUUAAACUGAUUUUUUUACAGAAAAAUUUUAAAAGUGCCUGAUGUCCCAUGUUUAUUUGCGAAAUUUGAAAAGGAAUCUAACUGUGAAGGAACUACUGUAUCGCUCAAACAUC